AUGUGUGCAUGUAUAGAGAGAGAAAGGAAGAGAGAGAGAUUGUUCCAUAGCCGAUCUGGAGAAGUCAUUAGCUUCACCCUUUUACCUCCUUAGAUUACAUAAGCCCUUACUUGAGUUCUUCUUCAAAAAUCAAGGAUAAAAUUUCUCUCUAGCUCCUCCAACAGCUACGGUUUAGAGAAAUCUAAAUACCAAGAAAUCGAUGUUAAAGAGCAUGGUUGGAAAAUAAGGUUGAGAAGAAAGAGCUGUUGAAAUCUAGCACAAAGGAAGCAAACACCGAGUUCAUAAAAAUUACUAUGGAUUUAUAUAAAGAUAAGAAAGAGAAAUGCUCAAAGAGUUGUAAAAUCAUGGGAUAGUGAUUAUGUGGCAUAAAGAAUGGUGAGAUGGAGAGAAAAAGCUAUUUAUCAAGAUGAACAAAUUAGAGAAAAAUAAGACAUUGACUCAUAAUGGGUGGAAGUUUUGAGAGAAUCUCGAGUCGUUUGAUACAUGCAUCAUGUUGCGAUAUUACACCACAUAUAAAUAAGGAUACCAAUUUGAUACAUACAUCAUGCUAAAAUGUUAAGCUUAACACUAAUAAGGAGGCAUCCAAAUUUGUAAUAGCUUAUUUUACUUUUAUAGUGCUA